CCUACGGGUGGCAGCAGUAGGGAAUUUUCGUCAAUGGGCGCAAGCCUGAACGAGCAAUGCCGCGUGAACGAGGAAGGUCUUCGGAUCGUAAAGUUCUGUUGAAGGUGAAAAAGAGCGGAGAGAGGAAAUGAACUCCGAUUGAUAUUACCCUUCGAGGAAGUCACGGCUAACCACGUGCCAGCAGCCGCGGUAAUACGUAGGGGGCGAGCGUUAUCCGGAAUGAUUGGGCGGAAAGCGCUCGUAGGGGGUAUGUCAAAUCAAGGGGGAAAUCCCCGCGCUCAACGUGGGAACUGCCUUUGAAACUGGCAAACUGGAGUGUGUGAGAGGAUAGUGGAAUUCCAGGUGUAGGAGUGAAAUCCGUAGAUAUCUGGAGGAACAUCAGUGGCGAAGGCGACUAUCUGGCACAUAACUGACGCUGAGGAGCGAAAGCGUGGGUAGCAAACAGGAUUAGAUACCCCUGUAGUC
rnacentral:rRNA from 1 species